UACGGAGGGUGCAAGCGUUAAUCGGAAUUACUGGGCGUAAAGCGCGCGUAGGUGGUUUGAUAAGCGAGAUGUGAAAGCCCCCGCGCUCAACGUGGGAACUGCCUUUAGAACUGUCAGGCUAGAGUAUGGUAGAGGAGUGUGGAAUUUCCUGUGUAGCGGUGAAAUGCGUAGAUAUAGGAAGGAACACCAGUGGCGAAGGCGGCACUCUGGACCAAUACUGACACUGAGGUGCGAAAGCGUGGGGAGCAAACAGGAUUAGAUACCCGGGUAGUCC
rnacentral:rRNA from 1 species